GGUUACUGCUAUCGGUGUUCGCCUAAGCCAUGCGAGUCAUAUGUUCUUCGGAACAUGGCGUACUGCUCAGUAACACGUGGAUAACCUGCCCUUGGGUCCGGCAUAACCCCGGGAAACUGGGGGUAAUUCCGGAUAACGCACAUAUGCUGGAAUGCUUUAUGCGUCAAAUGGAUUUGUCCGCCCAAGGAUGGGUCUGCGGCCUAUCAGGUAGUAGUGGGUGUAAUGUACCUACUAGCCUACGACGGGUACGGGUUGUGAGAGCAAGAGCCCGGAGAUGGAUUCUGAGACAUGAAUCCAGGCCCUACGGGGCGCAGCAGGCGCGAAAACUUUACAAUGCGGGAAACCGUGAUAAGGGGACACCGAGUGCCAGCAUCAUAUGCUGGCUGUCCGGGUGUGUAAAAUACACCUGUUAGCAAGGGCCGGGCAAGACCGGUGCCAGCCGCCGCGGUAACACCGGCGGCCCGAGUGGUGAUCGUGAUUAUUGGGUCUAAAGGGUCCGUAGCCGGUUUGGUCAGUCCUCCGGGAAAUCUGACGGCUUAACCGUUAGGCUUUCGGGGGAUACUGCCAGACUUGGAACCGGGAGAGGUAAGAGGUACUACAGGGGUAGGAGUGAAAUCUUGUAAUCCCUGUGGGACCACCUGUGGCGAAGGCGUCUUACCAGAACGGGUUCGACGGUGAGGGACGAAAGCUGGGGGCACGAACCGGAUUAGAUACCCGGGUAGUCCCAGCCGUAAACGAUGCUCGCUAGGUGUCAGGCAUGGCGCGACCGUGUCUGGUGCCGCAGGGAAGCCGUGAAGCGAGCCACCUGGGAAGUACGGCCGCAAGGCUGAAACUUAA
rnacentral:rRNA from 1 species